AACGAACGCUGGCGGCAGGCCUAACACAUGCAAGUCGAGCGCCCCGCAAGGGGACCGGCGGCCGGGUGAGUAACGCGGGGGAAUAUGCUCUUUGCUACGGAAUAGUCUCGGGAAACUGGGGGUAAUACCGUAUACGCCCUUUGGUGGAAAGAUCUAUCGUCCAAGGAUUAGCCCGCGUUGGAUUAGGUAUUUGGUGGGGUAAUGGGAUACCAAGCCGACGAUGCAUAGCCGGUGUGAGAGAAUCAUCAGCCACACUGGGAGUGAGCCACAGCCCAGAAUCCUCCGGGAGGCGGCAGAGGGGGAUCUAAGAACACGGGGGCAACCCUGAUGGAGUCCUGCCGGGUGAGUGCUGAAGGCAGUAAGGUUGUAAAGUUCAUUUAACUGGGAAGAUAAUGACGGUACCAGCAGAAGAAGCCCCGGCUAACUACGUG
rnacentral:rRNA from 1 species